rnacentral:rRNA from 1 species
UGGGGAAUAUUGCACAAUGGGCGCAAGCCUGAUGCAGCAACGCCGCGUGAGUGAAGAAGGCCUUUGGGUCGUAAAGCUCUUUCGGCCGGGAAUAAGGGUUCUACGGUAAACAAUCGUAGGAUUUGAAUGUACCGGAAGAAGAAGCACCGGCUAACUACGUGCCAGCAGCCGCGGUAAUACGUAGGGUGCGAGCGUUGUUCGGAAUUACUGGGCGUAAAGGGCGCGUAGGCGGGUUUGCAAGUCGAUUGUGAAAUCCCAAGGCUUAACCUUGGAGCUGCAGUCGAAACUGCAAGUCUUGAAUGUCUGAGAGGGUGGGAGAAUUCCUGGUGUAGUAGUGAAAUACGUAGAUAUCAGGAGGAAUACCGGCGGCGAAGGCGCCUACCUGGCAGUACAUUGACGC